GUUCUUUCCUGUGCUGAGAUUACUAAGAGACUGGGUCUCACUCUGUUGCCCAAGCUGGAGAACAGUGGCACCAUCAUAGCUCACUGCAGCCUUCAACUUCUGGGCUCAAGUGCUUCUCCCACCUCAGCCUCCCAAGUAGCUGGGACAACAGGUGAAAUUGAAGGCCAGCUUUUGGAACUCAACCUUCAAAGGAACUUAAAAUUUCCAUUAUGUAGAGUCCCUGAGGAAACUGGAUCCACUAGCUACACUGGCUGAGAAUGCUCUCACCCCAGGAUUUCAUUUUUAUUUUACCACAUCAUUGUUGGUAUCUUAAGAUCAAUGUACUGGAGCAGCGGGGUCUCACAAAGAGGAUACCUGGUGACACGCCCAGGCUUUCAGAAUGCACUAUAGGGCUUUAGUGACUUGUCCAGGUUCAGCUGAAAUGUGCCAUCUGGGACCUACUAAUGCUUGUUGAACUUUACUGGAUCUCAGAAGCUGGGUCUCAGAAGCUCAGAUGUUCCUCAGAGCUACGAUAUCAACAACCUGUGAUGACAGAGAGAAGGUUGCUCCAUGAUGGAUUUGGAAACUUACUGGCUAGCUAAACCUGACUGAAUGGGAAGGAAUGUGGAUAGCUUUGGAACUCUAGUUUCACUAGAUGAGCUGGAAUUUGUAUUUUGACAAAUUGCACGUUAUGAUUAUUAAGUAAUGCAACUGAUUUUUUUUUCCCUUAAAACAAACAAUCUAGAAUCUGUGUAAUCAAAAUAAUUUCUCUAAAAGGCUGCAAGUAUAUGCUUAAAGUGUUGGGGCAUUCAGAGCAUUUGGAACAUUACAUUCUUUUGAAUGUCAAUUGGUAGAUGAAAAUACCAGCUUUUAAGUCAUACAUUUGAUUUUUUGAAACAAUAUGCAUUUAGAGUUUGUAAGUCAAGUGAAUAACUGAUAAGGUAAAAAAAAGGGGGAGUUCAUUGUUGAGUAUGAAUUUAAAGUAACCAGACUGCCUUUUGUCCAGUGGCUGUCAGUAAUUUACUUCAGCAGGCAUUUUUUUUUUUUUGAGGCUGUUCUAUGAUAUCAUGACCCUUCUUGUAGGAAUGUGCUUCCAGUGGUGAGGCAGUCUGAGAAUGUGUGAAGCAGUAUAAUGAAGCCAGACCAAGAUGGAAGCUUGGCCUGGGAUUUGAGCAUCAGGAAAACUGUUGAAGGGUUAUGUAUACAUCACACACACACACACACACACACACACACACACACACACACACACACUCUCUUCCAUACUCCUAUAACAACGUAUAGUAUUUACUAUACCUGGUGACAGGUAUUUACUAUACAUUGUUGAAGAUCUAUAACAUGGAAUGCCUAGUGCUAAGUGCAGUGUCCUUAGUGAAAUUGUAUUGGUUUGGAAUUAUUUAUGAGUUUGGGAUUAUUUGUCACUACCCUUAAAUGAUCUUGACACUCACCUAUUUGAAAAGAUAUUGAGGAUUUGCCAUUUGAUAUUGACCAGGGUGUAUUGUGCACAAAUAUUGUGAAUAUACAUCUGUCUGUCCUUAAAUCACUGUAAGUUUUAACUGGAAUAGAUUUGCUCCACAUUACUCGGUAGGGCUGAUAUUUCAUGCCUCAUGGAUGAGAAAAGAAUAGGCAAAAAUUAUAUCUCGGGCUGCCUCACACAUCUUUUAACAGGAUAAGGGAAAAAUAAAUAUAAGACCUAUGAGUUAUGGCAUCAGGCUUGAACUUUAAUUUAUGAAUUAAACCAACAAUAUUAUUGAUUAUUGCAAUUAUCUAUCUUAAUUUCAUUUGUUCUCCUUUUAAAAAUUAAUUAUGUUUAUUUUACCUAUUGUGAAUAAAGUCACUCCUCCCAUGUGCUUAUUUCUUGACUCUGGCACUAAUUAUUCUUCAGUGCCUAGAUUUCCUGGGACUGCUCAGUUUAAGUAACUUCUGAACAUUGGUCUCUGAGAGAAAAGACAGUGAAGUGGGAUCUGUGGAAAAACACAUCUGCAAAUGUCUCAUUUUUUUCUUCAGGGGUAAGUUUUCUUCCUUGGAGACUCUUGUCUUGAAAAAGUGAUACUAGAUCACCAUUUGGCAAGAUAAUUACAAAAGGCAGAUAGAGUAAUUAUUUUACAUAGCUGUUAUAGGGUGACUAAGAUCUCAGGGAAUGACUGUGUUCUGUAAUCCACUUGCCCCACUCAAUACCCCAAGUUUUAUACAAGCCAAAGAUGCUUGGAGCAGAAUCUGCUACCUGAGGCUCCAGGGCCUUGGCCUAGGGAAACUAAUACUUAACUUUUUAAGUGGUCAUUGAUGACAUCCCACUCCUUUCUGAGAUGGGUAUGAUUUGAAAGGCAGGUGUAUUCAUGGAGAGCAGGGCUUGGGACCUUUGCUGCAAGAGGAGGAACUAUUAGCCUAGACUUUUCUAAUAAGGACUUUCUCAUACCUGUUUCCUAGAUCUGGUCCACAUAGAAGAAAUCAGGGAACACACAGGGUAGGACUCUUAAAGGAGUAUGUUUCUUGGCUUUUUCCUAAAAACUAAAACAAAAACAUUCAUAGCAAAGCAGUUUAGCCCAGUGACUAAGAGUAUAGACAUUGGAAUCUGAAAGAUCUGGGUUGGAAUUCUGCUUCAGCCAUUUACUAAUUAUGUAACUUCACAUCUCUGAGAAUGGGGGAAAUUUUCUUUGCAGGGUUGUUACAAAGCUUAAAAGAGUUAAGUCAAGUGCCUGGAACAGAACAGCCAUUCAAUAAAUCAUAGAAAUUUUUGUUUUUACACAAAUUUUUAAAAAGUAAUAUUUUUUGCAUUUGUUAGAAAGACUAUAUUUUCUGUUUAGUGGAUGACAUCAUCAUCAUAAAAAUCACUGUUACAAGUUUUGUUUUGAGAAUUAAAAUCAUAUAUUAAUCCCAA
rnacentral:lncRNA from 10 species